ACCCCAGAGUGCAGUCUGGACGAUGGGGCGGGGCGACACUUCGAGGCGGAGCGACACGUGUCGCCCCGCCCAUAUUUGUUUUCCCCGCCUUUGACAUUUUCCUCCGAGCCAGCAGGGGCAGUUUGCGUUGAAACAAACAGAACGGUGGCAACUACAGCAGCAGAGUAAUAACGCUAUUCCGUUGAUUGCUUGAGGAUGACAUGAUCAGGAGGUGGUGGUGUUCUGUUCUCCUGGACAGCUUUACUCCGCAAAUAGCUCAACCACUGAGGGAAGGAACUUCACCAUUCACCAUGUCUUCAGGCAGAGUCCAGCAAAGCAGCUUCCACUGGAAAUCCUCAGGGAAGUUAUUUUGUCGGCGGGUGACUCUGCAUAUUUGACACUUUCUCUGGUUUGCAGAUGGUUUAGGGAUGUGCUCCGAAGUUUUUCGGAAAGCGGCAGUUUGCCUGGCUAGACAUUGUGGCCAACUGGAAGAAUUGUCCUCCUGUCUACUGACUGGAACGAGUUCAGACGGAUGUACAGCAUCAGGGAACACUUGCAGUGCAGAGCCCUUUUCAAGUUUAACCCACCAGGGUACAGGGAAGAGACCGGCGUGGUGAUCUUCUGGGCUUUUGUUUACACAGGAUUUUGUUCCAAGGACUGUUUUUUCUUUUUUUUCUUUUUUUUUUGCGGCAUGAAACACAUUUGUGUGUUAAGUUCAUUGAAGGGAAAUAGAGAAUGGGCUAAGAUCAACUGGUUUUGAUGUAUUAAUUGAUGUAAUUUAAAGUUAAACUUUGCACUGUAUAAUAUUUUAAUAAAAAAGCUAUGGAAAACACG